rnacentral:tRNA from 1 species
GGUAAAAUGGCCGAGCGACAGGCGGUGGGUUGUAGCCCCAACGACAGAGGUUCAAACCCUCUUUUUACCA